rnacentral:rRNA from 1 species
UACGUAGGGGGCUAGCGUUGUCCGGAAUCAUUGGGCGUAAAGAGCGUGUAGGCGGCCCGGUAAGUCCGCUGUGAAAGUCGGGGGCUCAACCCUCGAAUGCCGGUGGAUACUGUCGGGCUAGAGUGCGGAAGAGGCGAGUGGAAGUUCCUGGUGUAGCGGUGAAAUGCGCAGAUAUCAGGAGGAACACCGAUUGCGAAGGCAGCUCGCUGGGACGUAACUGACGCUGAGACGCGAAAGCGUGGGGAGCAAACAGG